rnacentral:rRNA from 1 species
GUGAUCUCGAAUCUUUGAACGCAUCUUGCGCUCCUUGGUAUUCGAGGAGCAUGCCUGUUUGAGUGUCAUUUGACUUCUCUCAACCACAUCGUCUUUUCAAUGUGGCUUGGAUGUGGGGGAAUUUCUUUGCAGGCUUUUUAAUUUUAAGAAGCCGGCUCCCCUGAAAUGCAUUAGUGGUGUCUGAGCUGCUAUUGGUGUGAUAAUUUAUCUAUGCCUUUGGUAAUGCUGGUCAGCGCCGCUUAUAACAAGACAAAAUUCAUUUGACAAAUUUGACCUCAAAUCAGGUAGGACUACCCGCUGAACUUAAGCAUAUCAAUAAGCGGAGG